AGUUUCAUGUUUAAUUAAUAUGAAAUAUUUUCUGCCCAGUGGAAUUCUUAACGGCCGCAGUACUUUGACUGUGCUAAGGUAGCAUAAUAAAUUGUCUUUUAAUUGAAGUCUAGGAUGAAUGGAUAACUUGGGAAGUUACUGUCUUUAUAUAAUUUAUUUGAAUUUUUUUAUAAGGUGCAAAUUCCUUAAUUUAAGAAAAAAGACGAGAAGACCCUUAGAAUUUUUCUUAAUUUAAUUAUUUAAUUAAAUUUGUUUAGUUGGGGUGACAAAUUAACAUAUUAAACUUAUUUUGUCUUAUUUUAUUUAAGUCGAAUAUUUUCUGAGAGAAAAAAUUACCUUAGGGAUAACAGCAUAAUUUUUCAAAAAGAUUGUGACCUCGAUGUUGGACUAGGGACCUUAUGAUUAGUAAUUAAUUUGGCUAGUUCUGUUCGAACUUUAUACCCU
rnacentral:rRNA from 1 species